AAUCAACGCUGGCGGCGUGCCUAACACAUGCAAGUCGAACGCGAAAGUCCCGCAAGGGAUUAGUAGAGUGGCAAACGGGUGAGUAACACGUGGGUGACCUGCCUUCGAGCGGGGGAUAACGUUCCGAAAGGAACGCUAAUACCGCAUAACAUCCUGCCUUUUAAGAGGCGGUGAUCAAAGCCGGGGAUUCGCAAGAACCUGGCACUUGAAGAGGGGCCCGCGCCUGAUUAGCUAGUUGGNGGGGUAAUGGCCUACCAAGGCAACGAUCAGUAUCCGGCCUGAGAGGGCGGACGGACACACUGGGACUGAGACACGGCCCAGACUCC
rnacentral:rRNA from 1 species